rnacentral:rRNA from 1 species
AACGAACGCUGGCGGCAUGCCUAACACAUGCAAGUCGAACGAGGCCUUCGGGUCUAGUGGCGCACGGGUGCGUAACGCGUGGGAACCUGCCCUUAGGUUCGGAAUAACUCCCCGAAAGGGGUGCUAAUACCGGAUAAUGUCUUCGGACCAAAGAUUUAUCGCCUUUGGAUGGGCCCGCGUUGGAUUAGCUAGUUGGUAGGGUAAAAGCCUACCAAGGCGACGAUCCAUAGCUGGUCUGAGAGGAUAAUCAGCCACACUGGGACUGAGACACGGCCCAGACUCCUACGGGAGGCAGCAGUGGGGAAUAUUGGACAAUGGGCGAAAGCCUGAUCCAGCAAUGCCGCGUGAGUGAUGAAGGCCUUAGGGUUGUAAAGCUCUUUUACCCGGGAUGAUAAUGACAGUACCGGGAGAAUAAGCUCCGGCUAACUCCGUG